GUAGGAGUCAAUCAAGAUGAGUGGUUGACUCAACUCGAUCAAAAGUUGAUUAGGAUUAGGUCAAGAGUGCUCAAAAUCAACCCAAUAAUUAUAGAUUGGUCACAUUGAUUAACAGCCUCAUAUUGGAUUGAUUAACUCGAAGAUCUGAUUUGACUCAGUGACUCGAGCCUGAGUUAUACAAGCUAACCUAUUCAAAAUUGAUUGACCUAUUGGUAUCUAAGGAAAAUGAUUUAAAAAAAGAUGGUUAUUUAAUUAGUUUCAUUCGCUGACCUGAUCAAUUUAUUGAUGUCUAAGAAAAAUAAUCAGGG
rnacentral:lncRNA from 1 species